UACGAGGGGGGCAAAUGUUGUUCGGAAUCACUGGGCGUAAAGGGAGCGUAGGCGGGCUUUUAAGUUAGGUGUUUAAUCCCGGGGCCCAACCCCGGUCGUGCACUUCAAACAUGGAAGUCUUGAAUAGUGGAGAGGUCAGUGGAAUUGGGGGUGUAGCGGUGGAAUGCGUAGAGAUCCCCAAGAACACCAGUUGCGAAGGCGGCUGACUGGACACAUAUUGACGCUGAGGCUCGAAAGUGUGG
rnacentral:rRNA from 1 species